GGGCAGAUGGCGAAAUUGGUAGACGCGCCAGGUUUAGGACCUGGUAUCGAAAGAUUUGAGGGUUCGAGUCCCUCUCUGCCCA
rnacentral:tRNA from 1 species